rnacentral:rRNA from 1 species
AUGACUUCAGGAGGUGUGUACUUGUGUACAAUAGCAUCGAGGAGAUCAUAUGCACCCAAAUUAUCCUUUGCCAGAGCAACAAAGGUAAGCUGUGGAGCUCGAGCUACGGCACUAUCUUGCACUGAUCGACAUCUGCAAUGCCAUCCUAGAGAGCUUUUCUUAGCUCAAGACAAGCACUCAGGAAAUUGCAUUGGCUCUCAGACCAAGAUACAGUCCUUCAUCCGUCUGACCAAGAUGGCGCCAAAACAGUGGGAGAAGAUCAACAAGAAAUCUCCUUCAGCUGACAAGGAGGGUUGCAGGGUGGUCAAACUGUUGGCUGGAGCAAGAGAGGUCGUUGCUUCAAUGCUUCAGUCACCCACGCGGCUCCUACUGAAGUAA